GGGAAUUCUGGGAGUUGAAGUCUGCACAAGUCUUGAAAUUGCCAAAUUUGGAGAUUAGAGGCUCGCUGCUGAAAUUUUUUUUUUUGCAAAGAUUGCAACACCAACCAGGAAGGGCUUGGUCUAACUGAAGUGCACUUCCUUAUGUUCUUUCGAAAAGCACAAAAACUGAGCCUUUGCUUAGCAUUACCAACUCUUAUCUUCUUCUCUUAACACCCAAAAUCGGUAAAGACAACUCCAAGCAUUCGGUACUCUCGUAAAUUAAAAUGGACGGCUGAUGUUAGCUUAGCCCUGAAUUGCACCGUGGAUAAGACUGACAAUAUCCGAAGGUGAAAAUAUUAUUUCUAAAACAAUUUAAGUCCCCUUAAUCCUUUAAACAGUACAACUAAAAGACGAACAGUGGUGGUAGAUGCAGAAUUUCAAGUUCUUUUUAACAUCAUAUAUUUACAGCCCUUUAGGGAACAAAUGCUAAGGAUACCCCCAGUUUCAUCCAAUCUCUUCCUCCCCAUAUCUACUUCCUUGAGUCGAAAGAAGAUGUUCUUAUUCCAGAGGCUAA